rnacentral:rRNA from 1 species
GAUGAACGCUAGCGGCAGGCUUAACACAUGCAAGUCGAGGGGGAUAGGUUUUCGGACCUAGAGACCGGCGCACGGGUGCGUAACGCGUAUGCAAUCUACCUUUCACAGAGGGAUAGCCCAGAGAAAUUUGGAUUAAUACCUCAUAGUAUAGCAGUUUCGCAUGAAACCACUAUUAAAGUUCCAACGGUGAAAGAUGAGCAUGCGUCCCAUUAGCUAGAUGGUAAGGUAACGGCUUACCAUGGCUACGAUGGGUAGGGGUCCUGAGAGGGAGAUCCCCCACACCGGGACUGAGACACGGACCAGACUCCGACGGGAGGCAGCAGUGAGGAAUAUUGGUCAAUGGACGCAAGUCUGAACCAGCCAUGCCGCGUGCAGGAUGACGGUCCUAUGGAUUGUAAACUGCUUUUGUACGAGAAGAAACAACAUUACGUGUAAUGUCUUGACGGUAUCGUAAGAAUAAGGAUCGGCUAACUCCGUGCCAGCCGCCGCAGUAACAC